UAAGGGCGUGCGUCUCCUAAGGACUGAGGAGUGAGGGCCACCUGCUCUGCCUGCCCCAUCCAAGUGCCAGGGAAGCACUCCACACCCAACAUUUCAUCUCUUCAGUGGCCUGUGCGUGGGGAGCAGUGAGCUGGUGACCAAAUUGCCAGGCCCAGGAUUGCUGGCGUGGCCCCGUGCAGCUCCCCAGAGCCGGGUCGCAGUCUCUUGUGCCCUGGGACGUGCCAUGCUUGCUCCUUUCUGGACAGAGGGGUUCUGCUCAGCCUUGCAGUUACCCCAAGUGCCAAUGGUGGAGGGAGAGGGGUUGCUUCUGGUCCCCCCAAGAACCAUGCCAGGUGCAAUAUCUUCAAGCACAGGACAGUGGCUGGGGGAAGGGCGGUGGCCUGUCAGGCUCUGAGGGGAGGAGGGAGGCUGUGGCUCCCUCACUGCCUGGCUCUGUGACCCACACCAGCCCCACCGAGCAGCUGGGGCUCAGGCUCCUCACACCAUUGAGGACUGGGCGGGACCAAGGACCAGGGCCAAGGACUUCUCCGACCCGGACAACUUCCAGGCCCCUUCUCCCAGCCAGCCAAGGCUGUGAUCCUCGGGAUCUGGCCAGCCUGGGGCUCAGCUGGCUCUGCGGACACUGUUUCUGCAGUGAGUCUGUGGGUGCUUCCUGGGCACCCACAAAGAGCCAGGCCUGGCAGGGCUCUGGACGGGAGGCAGCAGCACAAGGAGGAGCAGAAGCACCUGGGGCUUUGGAGGUCACUGCUUGA
rnacentral:lncRNA from 1 species